UACGUAGGGGUGACACGUUGUCCGGAAUCAUUGGGCGUAAAGAGCGUGUAGGCGGUCCGGUAAGUCCGCUGUGAAAGUCGGGGGCUCAACCCUCGAAUGCCGGUGGAUACUGUCGGGCUAGAGUGCGGAAGAGGCGAGUGGAAUUCCUGGUGUAGCGGUGAAAUGCGCAGAUAUCAGGAGGAACACCUAUUGCGAAGGCAGCUCGCUGGGACGUAACUGACGCUGAGACGCGAAAGCGUGGGGAGCAAACAGG
rnacentral:rRNA from 1 species